UACAGAGGGUGCGAGCGUUGUCCGGAAUCACUGGGCGUAAAGCGCGCGUAGGCGGUUACUUAAGUCGAAUGUGAAAGCCCUCGGCUUAACCGAGGAAGUGCAUCCGAAACUGAGUAGCUAGAGUACGAAAGAGGGUCGCGGAAUUCCCGGUGUAGAGGUGAAAUUCGUAGAUAUCGGGAGGAACACCGGUGGCGAAGGCGGCGACCUGGGUCGAGACUGACGCUGAGGCGCGAAAGCGUGGGGAGCAAACAGG
rnacentral:rRNA from 1 species